rnacentral:misc_RNA from 1 species
AAGUCGUAACAAGGUUUCCGUAGGUGAACCUGCGGAAGGAUCAUUAAAGAGUUAGGGUCUUCCAGGCCCGACCUCCCAACCCUAUGUUUAUUGAACCUCUGUUGCUUCGGCGGACCCGUCUCACGGCCGCCGGAGGACCGCUGAAAGGCGUCCUCUGGCCAGCGUCCGUCGAUAGCCAACCCCAAAACUCUGAAUAAAUCAUGUCAUAUGUCUAAGUUUAUGAUUAAAUAAAGCAAAA